CGCUGGCGGCAUGCUUUACACAUGCAAGUCGAACGGCAGCACGGGCUUCGGCCUGGUGGCGAGUGGCGAACGGGUGAGUAAUAUAUCGGAACGUACCCAAGAGUGGGGGAUAACGUAGCGAAAGUUACGCUAAUACCGCAUACGAUCUAUGGAUGAAAGUGGGGGAUCGCAAGACCUCAUGCUCCUGGAGCGGCCGAUAUCUGAUUAGCUAGUUGGUGAGGUAAAGGCUCACCAAGGCGACGAUCAGUAGCUGGUCUGAGAGGACGACCAGCCACACUGGAACUGAGACACGGUCCAGACUCCUACGGGAGGCAGCAGUGGGGAAUUUUGGACAAUGGGCGCAAGCCUGAUCCAGCAAUGCCGCGUGAGUGAAGAAGGCCUUCGGGUUGUAAAGCUCUUUUGUCAGGGAAGAAACGGUAGAGGCUAAUAUCCCUUGCUAAUGACGGUACCUGAAGAAUAAGCACCGGCU
rnacentral:rRNA from 1 species